UAGCUCAGUGGUAGAGCACCCGCUUAGCAUGCACGAGGUCCUGGGUUCAAUCCCCAG
rnacentral:tRNA from 1 species